UACUCUGUACGGAGUACGGAGUA
rnacentral:misc_RNA from 1 species